CCUACGGGUGGCAGCAGUGAGGAAUAUUGGUCAAUGGCCGGAAGGCUGAACCAGCCAUGCCGCGUGAAGGUCAGUGCCCUAUGGGCGUUAAACUUCUGUUGUGCGGGAGCAAUAAUGGUCACGUGUGGCCAGACGAGAGUACCGUACGACUAAGCAUCGGCUAACUCCGUGCCAGCAGCAGCGGUAAUACGGGGGAUGCAAGCGUUAUCCGGAUGUAUGUGGGUUAAAGGUUGCGACGGCUGUGAGGUAAGUCAGCGGUGAAAUGCCCCCGCUCAACGGGGUGAAGUGCCAUUGAUACUGCCUUUCUGGAAUGCGGAUGCCGUGGGAGGAAUGUGUGGUGUAGCGGUGAAAUGCAUAGAUAUCACACAGAACACCGAUUGCGAAGGCAUCUCACGAAUCCGCGAUUGACGCUGAUGCACGAAAGCGUGGGUAUCAAACAGGAUUAGAUACCCGAGUAGUC
rnacentral:rRNA from 1 species